GGAAGUAAAAGUCGUAACAAGGUUUCCGUAGGUGAACCUGCGGAAGGAUCAUUACUGAUUUAGCUAACCGAGCGUUAGCGAGGUUUUGCGAUCACUUAUAUUUAAAACCCACUCUUUGAACGUAUAAAAUUUUAUGUAUUAAUGAUAAAAAUAAAAGAUCACUUUCAACAACGGAUCUCUUGGCUCUCGCAUCGAUGAAGAACGUAGCGAAGUGCGAUAAGUAAUGUGAAUUGCAGUAUUCCGUGAAUCAUCGAAUCUUUGAACGCAUAUUGCACUUUCUGGUAUUCCGGAAAGUAUGCCUGUUUGAGGGUCAGUUAAAUAAAAAUCGGUGUUGUUGCUGCCUUUCGUGGUGACGCGUCGGAAUUGAGUCGUCUUACCUUCGGUUAAGUGACUUAAAAUUUUUUCAUACGAUUUCAACGUAUUUAAUGUAUUAUGUACGUUCACGAAUAUCAAAUGUUUUAUUAGGUGCGGUCAUUUUCAUGAAUUCGCGUCUAUAAUUUUUCAUUAAAUGACCUCAAAUCAGGUAAGAAUACCCGCUGAACUUAAGCAUAUCAAUAAGCGGAGGA
rnacentral:rRNA from 1 species